GGGCGCUUAGCUCAGCUGGUUAGAGCGCUACCUUCACACGGUAGAGGUCCCCGGUUCGAGUCCGGGAGCGCCUACCA
rnacentral:tRNA from 1 species